rnacentral:rRNA from 1 species
GACGAACGCUGGCGGCGUGCUUAACACAUGCAAGUCGAACGGAAAUGCCCUGCUUUUGUGGGGUGCUCGAGUGGCGAACGGGUGAGUAACACUUGAGUAACCUGCCCUUGACUUUGGGAUAACUUCAGGAAACUUGGGCUAAUACCGGAUAGUAGCUCCUGCUGCAUGGUGGGGGUUGGAAAGUUUCGGCGGUUGGGGAUGGACUCGCGGCUUAUCAGCUGGUUGGUGGGGUAGUGGCUUACCAAGGCUUUGACGGGUAGCCGGCCUGGGAGGGUGACCGGCCAAAUUGGGACGGAGAUACGGCCCAGACUAGUACGGGAGGCAAGAGUGGGGAAGAUGGCACAAUGGGAGGGAGCCUGAUGGAGCAACGCCGCGUGCGGGAUGACGGCAUUCGGGUUGGAAACCGCUUUCGCCUGUGACGAAGCGUGAGUGACGGUAAUGGGUAAAGAAGCACCGGCUAACUACGUG